GUCAAACCAAUCAGUGGCCAGAUUUGAAAUUGGCACCUGUUGUGGCCACUGAGGAUCUGGAUACACCUCUGAGAACACACAGGGCUUAAAAGCAGAGGAUUCCCAGAAGACUUCCUCUUUUGGAGUCCAGCGUCUUUUCACAGAUGUGCGCGUGGCCUGACUUCAAAAUCAAAUCCAGGGAAAUUCAGGAUUCUCAGGAGUGCUCCCUGUGUGUUUUACCUACUCCUCUACCCACCGUGCAUCAGAUGAGCUCUGCUGUUCAUGGCCAUCAUCAUUCAAGUGCUAGCCACACUGGUUUAGGUUGCAUGGUUUUAGGUUCAUGCUCCAAAUAUUCCUUGCACCACUACACUUUGGGAGAUGCUGACAAGAAACAAGAAGCUGCAGGUUUCAGUCUUGGAUGUGUGAUCUGCUAAGUGAAUUUUACAGAGUUUUUUUCAGAUGUUAAAACUACAAGGUGCUGAUGAGAAGACGAGAAGCCAAACCUGCACUAACUAUCCCAUCUGCUUCCUGCAAGCAAGAUGAAAGAGAAGCACCUACAGUAUUUUCAGCAAGGAAUAUUUAUCGAUUGGCACUAUCAGAGAGGCAGCCUGAAAGGUUUCCUGCAUCUGAAAGCACAGUAUAAUCAUUCCCAGAGUACAGUGAAGGGUGCUGAAUGCCAAAGAAGUACAAGGCUGAGAUCCACACUUGCAAGGCAUCUGUACUUUCACAAAGCACAGACACGGCUCUUCAGGUUUUGUUUUGCACUGAUACAUUGGCAUUUCGCCCUUAUUUAUGAGCUGAGUUUCUCCUCAUAUGGGGUAUGGUGAAAGGAAAAAUUGCACCAGCUUUUUUUAAUAACAAGUCCAGCAAAAUAAGGCAAGUCAAGUUCUGAAUUCUUGAUGAACAGAUUAAACUCUACAGCUUGCAUAGGUGUUUCAGAAUCCAAACCUUUCACUCACAUCCACAGAUCUCUCUGACUUUAAACUUCAUUUGAACAGCUGACAAAGAGCUCAGAGGAAAAGGGUGAGGCAAACUUUGGAAUAUAAGAUUAAAGGACUUAAAUUUGGCUUCCAAAAUGAUUCAGUCAAGGUCUUUACUGCACAUUCACAGUUCCAAAUGAAGGCCUGUACAAAAGUAAAUUAUUAAUAUUUUUGAGAAGCUAGCCAUCAGAUUAGUUAGGAAGCUCUGUACAGAAUAAAGAAGGGUUGAGCUGCCAAUUCAACUCUAUGUCCAUGUACAAGCCUUUCCUAGAGUUCAGCAACACCCAGUUUCAGGACCAGGCACUUGCUGUUUCUUCCCAUCAAAAGAGGCAUCUGUUCCAUCCUUUAAAUUUCAAACUGACUCUGGUACACAAAUUUAAGGAUCUCACAUCUAGUGCUUGUAUUUAGGCAAAACCACCGCUCUGAAGAAAAACAACAGCAUUCUUCCCUUGGCAAAACUAUUCCAGAUCUGUAUUAAAGACAGCAAAUAAACUAUUUUGGUUAACAUUUAAUGACUCCUUCAGGCUACAGGGACUGCUAAAGUAAUUGCAUUUUAUUUUAUUGCAUCAGCAAAUGAGGAGCAAUGCAAGUAGAGUGUGUAAAUAUCUAUUUUUAACAAAGCUGUCCAGCACACAGAAAUGCUGUAUCAGAUUUCAUUAAUGAGAGUGUAAGAUAUGAAUCAAGAGAGACCAUUCAGCGAUGUUCCAGCCUCAUUAGGACACCAUA